rnacentral:rRNA from 1 species
AACGAACGCUGGCGGCAGGCCUAACACAUGCAAGUCGAGCGGACGAUCUCUUUCGGGAGUGAGUUAGCGGCGGACGGGUGAGGAACACGUGGGAACAUACCUUUUGGUACGGAAUAGCCUCGGGAAACUGGGAGUAAUACCGUAUACGUCCUUAGGGAGAAAGAUUUAUCGCCGAAAGAUUGGCCCGCGUUAGAUUAGCUAGUUGGUGGGGUAAGAGCCUACCAAGGCGACGAUCUAUAGCUGGUUUGAGAGGAUGAUCAGCCACACUGGGACUGAGACACGGCCCAGACUCCUACGGGAGGCAGCAGUGAGGAAUAUUGGACAAUGGGGGCAACCCUGAUCCAGCCAUGCCGCGUGAGUGAAGAAGGCCCUAGGGUUGUAAAGCUCUUUCAGAUGUGAAGAUGAUGACCGUAGCAUCAAAAAGAAGCCCCGG